AGUGAACGCUGGCGGUAGGCCUAACACAUGCAAGUCGAACGGCAGCACAGUAAGAGCUUGCUCUUACGGGUGGCGAGUGGCGGACGGGUGAGGAAUACAUCGGAAUCUACUUUUUCGUGGGGGAUAACGUAGGGAAACUUACGCUAAUACCGCAUACGACCUACGGGUGAAAGCAGGGGAUCUUCGGACCUUGCGCGAUUGAAUGAGCCGAUGUCGGAUUAGCUAGUUGGCGGGGUAAAGGCCCACCAAGGCGACGAUCCGUAGCUGGUCUGAGAGGAUGAUCAGCCACACUGGAAGUGAGACACGGUCCAGACUCCUACGGGAGGCAGCAGUGGGGAAUAUUGGACAAUGGGCGGAAGCCUGAUCCAGCCAUACCGCGUGGGUGAAGAAGGCCUUCGGGUUGUAAAGCCCUUUUGUUGGGAAAGAAAAGCAGCAGGUUAAUACCCCGCUGUUCUGACGGUACCCAAAGAAUAAGCACCGGCUAACUUCGUG
rnacentral:rRNA from 1 species